rnacentral:lncRNA from 1 species
GAAAAUAUCAAUAAAUAGAUUGUGAUUCAGCUAUCUCCCAGUGGAAUUUUAAGUGAGUUAUUAUGACAAUAGUAUGGUGAGUAGCACAGUGUCUAGUUGCGAGGUGAGCGUCAGCUACGGAGAGUGAGGGCUCUGGUCCAGGCUGCAGGCUGUGGGCUGCAAAUUGCUGGAGGUUGAGCAUCCUGUGAGCAGUGGCUGAGUGUUGACCUGGCUCCAGAUCCAUCGCUGCGAUCAGCUGCUUUGUGCUCUGCCGAGAGUCACUUCGACCUGUCGGAAGGAGGCAUCUAUUGUAAAUUGUGCUAGAAUGUGAUAUUUCUUGCUGAUGUUAAACAACGUGGGGUGCACUGUCUCAGGGAGCCAGCCACCAUGGCCUGCAGUUCUGGGCCCUUCCACGUGGGACCAGAAGCUCCCUGGGAGAACGGGAUCCUCUGGCAGUAGGUGCUUUUGAAAUCCAGGUAAUUGAAGAGCUUCACAAGGUUUGGAAGGGACAAGAAUCUGGUCAUGUGGCUGGACCCAAGGGGAGUUUGAACUUGUCCAGUUCCAGGAUAAACUUGAACUUUGGCCUCCAUCCCUCGUGUUUUCUUCCUAAACUCGUUCUAUCUCAGAACCCUUUUGGACAAAGUCUCCUUCAGACCAUUUUCCCCAUUGAAAGCCUGUGUUGCAUCUUCAUUGUUGUUGUUAGUGCCAUUGAGUCAAUUCCAACUUCUAGUGACCCUGCGGACAGCAGAGUGGAACCCUGCCUGAUCUUUUUCUGCCAUCCUUUCACCGUCUGGUCCUCUAUCAGAAUACACCACAAGGACCAUUUGACUGUCCCCUCUGGCUUCUGCAUCUUGCUUCCAGCAUGAACAGACAGGCCCACACGACCGGGAAGACAGACUGGAGUGCUCCCCACUGUUCAAAGCCAUAAGCCAGAAAGAACAAAGAACCUACUAUGUGCAAGGGCUCUGUCUUCCUCUCACCUGACCACCAUGCCACUCUUUGUUUUAACUCAUCCAUUUCUACCAGUUAACUCAUCUUGCUACCAAUUUCUGUAUUAUCGGCACUCUAAUUGAAAGUAAUAAAACCUACCAAAAAUAUCUUAAAUAAAAAGUG